CCCUCGCAGCCGCCCGACGAUCCCGCAUCAUGGAUGUCGAGCUCUCCUAAAUCGCUUUGCUCGCUGGAAUUCGAGACCCCAGACGAGGACCAGGAUUCAUGAACUGGUCUCAGGGGCCCGGGCAGGGGCCUCUGGCUCCCGACGCUGGCCGAGAGCUCAGAGAACCCUGUUUGAAAACUUUUGAUAAGAAAACUGGAAGAUAAACUGAAUCACUCAAGUUCAAGAUAGGAUAAAAUGUGACAAAGACAAGUGAAGAUGUUUCAAAAAGCCAACCAGCGACGUCAUCUUCAAGGAUUUACCUCUUGCAGUUUUUAGAGCCAGAUUAAUUCCUUAAUGUCAAGUCCUACAGAUUGGCUGAGUUGGGAAGUGGCUGUCUCUGCCUGCCUGCUUCAUGCCUGCCCAAAAUUCUACUUUGACUAUAACUAGCCAUUGUCCAAAUGUUACUUUUCCUCAAGGUCAGGUCAUUUUAUCAAGACUCAACCAAUUGAACCGGCAUGUGACAGGUGACAGAAUCUCAAUUCAGCUUGAGAUUGAAUUGAGUUCAGUAGAGAGAGAAAGGGAAGCUCCAGCCUCUGAUUAGAGGAGACACAAUGAAGUUAAAGAUAACUGAGCUGUACCUUGGAGGAUGCAGGCAAACCUGGGUGAAGGUGUGAGGGAGAGUUUAAAAGUGGGAAUGAAAUGGAUGAAGACUUGGCAGUCAAAUGUACAAUGUAGGUCUAGCAGAUAAUACAGAGUCCAUCUCAACUGUGACCAAAAAUAAAUGAUAUGGAGUGGAACAUAAUGAGUCAUGACACGGGGGGAGAAUGGUAGCCAGAUUGUGCAACUUUUUAUAUGUCAGCCUGAAGAGAUUUAAAUUAACCUUGUAGGCAAUAGAGAGUGAUGGAAGAUUUGUAAUUAAGUAAAUGUCACAGUGAAAAUUAAUGUCCUUACUAUUUGGUCGUGGUGUCUAGAUCAUCUUCAGAUGAGGUAUGAGUUUGAACGUGAGUCAUAUUCUCCCACAAACUUGAUCUGUCUUGGUAAAUGUACUACAUACAUGAGAAAAAUGUCUAUUCUCUAGUUAUAGGGUAUUGUGUUUGUCAAACACAAUGUCAAAAUGAUCAGCUGUUUUCCAUGUCAUGUUUAUUUUUACUGAUUUUUUUGAGUUCUUUCAAUUGUAUGUUAUUUUGUUGUCAUUUUAAUUGCUGAGAGAGGGUGUUAAAAUCCCUAACUGAGAUUGUAGACUUUCUGUUUCUCCCCUCAAUUUUAUCAAUUGCUUCUUUGUUUCAAAGAUUAUCAGCACACAUUAAUGAUUAUAUGUCUUUUCAUAUACCAUUUCAGCCUUCUUAUGCUUACACCUUACAUGAUAUCUUUUUUUGAUCCAGUUGCUUUUAACCUAUCUUUGAAUUUAAAAUAUGUAUCUGGAACAUAGCAUACAGUUGGAUCUUACUUUUUACAAAUCAAUUCUAAAAAUCUCUCUCUUUUAAGUAGUGUUGUUUUUUAGUCUUCUGGCUCCCAUGGUUUGUAAUGAGAAGUCAGAGGUCUUUUUUUUUUUUUUAAUGUUCCUGACACUUGCUAAAGAUGAUAAGGAGGACUUUAUUCAAGAAGGAGAAACUGCUGUAUGGGGUUUUGCAGCAGGGAAUAGAGGGCAGGCUAAACUCCAAAUACAACAAGGACAAGUGGAGAUUGAUACCCAAGGAACAGGAUGGAGUCAGUAAAUGGAAAAUUACUAAGAGGAAAAAUCAGGGACGGGGGGAUUCUUGCUGAAGCCACACUGGGGUGAUAAGAUAUUGAGGAUCAGGGGUAAGGAAUUUGAUCAGAUAUGGGGAGUGAUCAGAGACUGAGUGGAGGAUUUUGCUAAACUGACUCAGCAGGAUUCUUACUAAUACCGCAGUAAGUGGAUCAGGAGAGCGCCCGCAGGUGGGGUCUAGUCAAAAAGAGAUCUCAGAGAAGCUUGAUUCAAGUUUGAUCAAAGGAGAGAGUCUGUCAUAUUCCACUGUGUGUAGUGUCUUUUUCUCUAGCUCUUUCCACAUGUUCUCUUUACCUUUGGUUUUCAACACUUUGAUUAUUAAGUGACUAGAAACAGUUUUCUCUAAUUUCUCUUACUGAGCUUCUUGCAUUAGUGUCUUUGAGGAAAGAUUCUGCCUCAUUCUCUCUCUCUUCUCUCAUUUGGGGACGCCAGUUACACAGUGUUAGACCUUUUGUUAUCAUUCCCCAUGUCAUUUUUUAAGGAUUUAUUUUUUCUAGAUUUGCUUUAGAUUUAAAACAAAAUUGAGAGGAAGGUACAGAGAUUUCUCAUAUUACAUCCGCUGCCCACACACAAGCAUAGCCUCCCCCAUUGUCAGCAUCACUCACCAAAAUGGUACAUUUUUUACCAAGAAUGAAUCUACUUUGACACAGCAAAAAAAUUUUUAUAAUCUAAAGUUUAUAGUUUAUCCAAGGGUUCAUUCUUGGUGUCAUACAUCCUAUGUGUUUAGACAACAUAUCAUGACCAAUGUCCAUCAUUAAAUAUACAGAAUAUUUUUACCACUCUAAAAAUCUUUUAUGCUGUCUAUCACACCCCACCCCCACCCAUGCAACCACUGAUCUUUUUCUUGUCCCCCUAGUUUUGCCUUUCCCAGACUGUCAUAUGGUCGGAAUCAUAUAGAAUGUAGCAUUUUUAGGUCUGACUUCUUUCACUUAGUAAUAUGCAUUUAAGAUUCCUCCAUAUCUUUUGAUAUGAUCUCCAUGAUCUAAGAGCUCAUAUCUUUUUUUAGCACCAAAUAAACCACUCUGUUGUCUAGAUGUGCCACAGUUUAUUCACCUACUCAAGGCCAUCCAGUUUGCUUCCAAGUUUUGGCAAUUAUGAGUAAACCUG
ensembl:lncRNA